CUCAGGGGCACUGGACCACUGAGCCACAUCCUUAGCCCUAUCUUGUAUUUUUAUUUAGAGGCAGGGUCUCACUGAGUUGCUUAGUGCCUUGCUUUUGCUGAAGCUGGCUUUGAACUUGGCGAUCCUCCUGCCUCAGCCUCCUGAGCCACUGUGAUGACAAGCAUGCGCCACUACGCCUGGCCCAAGUUCAUUUUAAAAAUGAAGUCUCUCUAUAGUUCACAUUAAUCUAGUACAUAUUUUAUGAAUAAUUAGACAAGAGUAGCUCAAAGUCUCCAAAUACAAGGUAAUGAAAAGGAGAUGGAAAUAUUAAUUACCCUAACUUGAUCAGCACAUAUUAUAUACAUGUAUCAAAAUAUUACAGUGUAUCCCCAUCAAUAUGUACAAUUAUUGCUGUUAAUUAAAGUAUUUUUUAAAAUAUUUAUUUUUUAAUUGUAGGUAGACACAUUAUCUUUAUUUCAUUUUUAUGUGGUGGUGCUGAGGAUCAAACCCAUUGCCUCACAUGUGCUAGGCAAGUGCUCUACCACUGGGCCACCACCCCAGCCCUAAAAUUUUUUUUUAAGUUUAAGGAGAUAGAAAGGUUAACUACCAUGAUUUAAUCAGUACACUGUAUAUGUAUCAAGUUAUCACACUGUAUCCCAUAAAUUUGUAUAAUUAAGAUAAUUUUUAAAACUUAAUAUAAAAAGUAACAUCUAAAAACAUUCUAGUUGUCUGCAAAAACGAAACUAAACCCCAAAUAAAACCAAGUUUCUUUUUGUCUUUGAGUUUGAGGGUUUCCGCAUAGUAAAGGGGGAGAUUUUAGGAAUAUGGAAUUUCAGAGGUGUUUUUUAAUUAAUAUUAC
rnacentral:lncRNA from 1 species